rnacentral:antisense_RNA from 1 species
UGUGAGAGCGAGCCUGCUCGCGAAGAGGUUUUCACAUUCAGCAUUGAUGUGAUGCAGAGGCCGCUUUCGCGAGCAGGCUCGCUCCCACA